rnacentral:rRNA from 1 species
AGGCUUAAUACAUGCAAGUCGUGGGGUCAGCAGGAGUAGCAAUACUUGCUGGCGACCGGCAAACGGGUGCGUAACACGUACACAACUUUCCUUUAAGUGGGGGAUAGCCCAGAGAAAUUUGGAUUAAUACCUCGUAAUAUUAUGAGAUGGCAUCAUUUUAUAAUUAUAGCUACGGCGCUUGAAGAUGGGUGUGCGGCUGAUUAGGUAGUUGGCGGGGUAACGGCCCACCAAGCCUUCGAUCAGUAGCUGAUGUGAGAGCAUGAUCAGCCACACGGGCACUGAGACACGGGCCCGACUCCUACGGGAGGCAGCAGUAAGGAAUAUUGGUCAAUGGACGCAAGUCUGAACCAGCCAUGCCGCGUGAAGGAUUAAGGUCCUCUGGAUUGUAAACUUCUUUUAUUUGGGACGAAAAAAGGGAAGUCUUUCUCACUUGACGGUACCAGAUGAAUAAGCACCGGCUAACUCCGUGCCAGCAGCCGCGGUAAUACGGAGGGUGCAAGCGUUAUCCGGAUUCACUGGGUUUAAAGGGUGCGUAGGCGGAUAGGAAAGUCAGUGGUGAAAUCUUCGAGCUUAACUCGGAAACUGCCAUUGAUACUAUUUAUCUUGAAUAUUGUGGAGGUGAGCGGAAUAUGUCAUGUAGCGGUGAAAUGCU